rnacentral:rRNA from 1 species
AACGAACGCUGGCGGCAUGCCUAACACAUGCAAGUCGAACGAGACCUUCGGGUCUAGUGGCGCACGGGUGCGUAACGCGUGGGAACCUGCCCUUAGGUUCGGAAUAACUCCCCGAAAGGGGUGCUAAUACCGGAUAAUGUCUUCGGACCAAAGAUUUAUCGCCUUUGGAUGGGCCCGCGUUGGAUUAGCUAGUUGGUAGGGUAAAAGCCUACCAAGGCGACGAUCCAUAGCUGGUCUGAGAGGAUGAUAAGCCACACUGGGACUGAGACACGGCCCAGACUCCUACGGGAGGCAGCAGUGGGGAAUAUUGGACAAGGGGCGAAAGCCUGAUCCAGCAAUGCCGCGUGAGUGAUGAAGGCCUUAGGGUUGUAAAGCUCUUUUACCCGGGAUGAUAAUGACAGUACCGGGAGAAUAAGCUCCGGCUAACUCCGUG